UACGUAGGAGACGAGCGUUGUCCGGAGUUACUGGGCGUAAAGGGUGCGCAGGUGGCGGCGCGCGUGGGGGGUGAAAUCGCCCGGCUUAACUGGGCGGGGGCCUUCCAGACGGCGUGGCUUGAGCAGCGGAGGGGGACGUGGAAUUCCGAGUGUAGAGGUGAAAUUCGUAGAUAUUCGGAAGAACACCAGUGGCGAAGGCGGCUGACUGGACAUGUAUUGACGCUGAGGUGCGAAAGCGUGGGGAGCAAACAGG
rnacentral:rRNA from 1 species